UACGAAGGGUGCAAACGUUGCUCGGAAUUAUUGGGCGUAAAGCGCGCGUAGGCGGCCUUGUAAGUUAGAGGUGAAAGCCCGGAGCUCAACUCCGGAACUGCCUUUAAAACUGCAUCGCUUGAAUCCAGGAGAGGUGAGUGGAAUUCCGAGUGUAGAGGUGAAAUUCGUAGAUAUUCGGAAGAACACCAGUGGCGAAGGCGGCUCACUGGACUGGUAUUGACGCUGAGGUGCGAAAGCGUGGGGAGCAAACAGG
rnacentral:rRNA from 1 species